GGGCGUACAUUAGAAUCGAACCUUGGCUUGAAAUUGAGUGCCCUGGGUGGACUUUCCUUCCGACUUGUUCACUUUGUAGCUAUGGUGGCUUUGUCCAGGAGCUGCUGGGAAAUGCCCCAGGCUACCUAGGGUUUGCGCCAUGCCCAAAGGCGCAGCUCACUUGAGCUGCUACGAGGGAUGAGACAUGUCCACUAGGACAAGACACUGGGACUCCCUCCGGACAAAGCUCCAUGCUGCUUGUUUGCUAGACGAGACGGGUCUCGAUCCAAAGUCCCGUGAAGGCUUGCUUGCCAAGGAUUGGUGCUGUUCCAGUGAAAUGGAGUGUGGACAUACACAAGAUACAUCUCGGCUGGAAGCACGUAACAGAUGGAGGCGGCUCAAGAACACAGUGGCUUUUGCGGCUGCCAUCAAAUCGUCUCUGGCCCAUGAUCUGCUCGAGGACAAACUUCACGUCGAUCCCGUAAAAGGCAAUGACAGUGUUGCUACCGGUGCAGCAGCUCAGGCUUCGAUGCCAGUUAAAGCCAAAGGAAGGAAAGGAAUGGAAGGCCUUGUGGUCCAGCAAGACAGAGGUUACAUGUCUUGCUUCCAAGAUUUUUAUGUCGCCUGCCUCAAGCUGCCAGUCGUUCACUUCUUUAUUGGAGUUUUCCUGGCUCCAGUUGCUUUGGCCUCGAUCUUCACGCCACUCUAUCUAUCGGAUGCCAAGGGGCUCAAGCUCGUCGAGUCGCAAGAAGCGGGUUCGUCGUGCGACUCAUCCAAGAUAUGGAGCUGCUUGAAUGUUUUUCUCUACUCGCUAUCCUUGUCAACAACCUUCGGUGGCUCGCCAAUCUCUGCAAUCUCGCCAUUCUGUCUACUUGUUGCGAAUCUUCACACGCUCAUGGCUCAGUUCUUGUUUGUGUUUCUGAGUGGUGCCGGUAAGACGGUAGAGAUGGCUGAAAUUCGGUCUCGUAGCUCAUGUCGUGAGAGGUUGCUGUUUGGUGCAGUUUUCGCUCGUAUGUCACAGCCAGCGCAUCCCAUAAGGUGCUCCAAGAAAGCCAUAAUAAAAAACAAUGACUUCGGGACAUCAGAUGACGAAGAUGGCAGAUCCAAAGUCUUUGUUAUACGGCUGGUACUGACGGGGCCUCCUCCCUGCGAGCUCGUGGAUGCAAAGAUACGCCUCACAUUUCGCAUUUAUGUGAGGCUGCCGUCCGGGUCGAUGUUCUGCUCGACACAGGAUUUGGACCUGGUGCGUUCAGAAGUUGCAUACCUAAGAUAUGGACUGACAGUACGCCACGUAAUAAACUCCAAGAGUCCGAUUAGCGGGCACACUUUGGACACUCUUGCUCAGGGAGAUGCGUCCUUCUCGCUGACGAUAAUGGGUGUGGAGCGCAGCUCCAUGCAGCCCAUCUUCCAUGUGGAGGAUUACUUCAUAUGUGAUGGAGACGUGAUAUGGGAUGGGGAGUACCUCGACUUCGUAGGAGUGAACGACAAGGGCCUGAGAGUACUAGACCAUUCCAAGAUAGACAUGUUGAAACCAUUCAAGGUGGCGGGAGUUGUAACACAAGCCAUAGCAAGAAUGGAAGGCGAAGUUGCAAGACACAAAGCUGAAGCGGAUCUAAAGGAAGAGAAAAACCACGAACCACUUUCGGAAUCAGAUUGGAAGACAAGCGGUGUGAGAAUCAGGAAACUAUGGAAAACAAUAUCUGGUUCGAAGUAAAAUAGAAAGUAAUUUCUAGCAGCCUGGGUAGGGUUUGGGCCAUGGGGAAGAGCAGGAAGCGGCAAGCGGCAAAGCGGAUGAUGGACAUUGACCAUGAUCAAGAGGCACAGGGCAUGGAUGUAGACGAGCCCAAAUCCACAUCCAACCCACCCAAUGGGCUGUCCAAGGAAUCCAAAUUGAUCGCAAAGCGGCGUCGUGCCGUGAAUGUACGCAAGAAGGCGGCGGCUGACAAGGCGCUGGCGAUGCUGGAGAAGAAACAGCAAAAGGCUCAGACGGAUCUGGCAAAGGUGUGUCGCAAGAAUCUACUCAAGAAGCUGUACUAGGUAGUGGAAAGAGGUAGGGUUGCAAUGGAGAGUCAUCAUGCCCGGCUGCUAGCCUUCGAUUUUGUGAGGAAACAGGUUGGCCGUCGUGUAGAGAUGGUGGGGGUGGCGGUGAGCGUGGAGCGCAAGCCCAAGUACGUGCGCUUUGCUGUGGACGACGGCACGGGCUGCAUAUCUUGCAUCUUGUGGACCAACCAGAGUGGCGCCCCCCAGCAGCAGGCAGCGGCAGACAUGGCGCGGCUUGUCACUCUGGGGGGCCUGCUCGCGGUGCACGGCCGCGUCUCCCGCUACCACCACCACCCGCAGCUCACCGUUUCGUCUCUCCUGCCACAGCCGGAUGCCAAUGCCGAGGUUUACCACUGGAUGGAGUGUAUCAAGCUUGCGCUAGAUUGCUAUUAGUUCUCCAAAUUGUGGCCCUCCCUGUUAAAUACAAGUUAGCCUAAAGGGAAA